CCCUUAGAUGUUCUGGGCCGUACGCGCGCUACAAUGGCAGACUCAGCGAGUUACCUCUGUCGAAAGGCACAGGGAAUCUUUACAGUAUCUGCCGUGAUGGGGAUAGACCCUUGUAAUUUUUGGUCUUCAACGAGGAAUUCCUAGUAAACGCAAGUCAUUAACUUGCAUUGAUUACGUCCCUGCCCUUUGUACACACCGCCCGUCGCACCUACCGAUUGAAUGGUCCGGUGAAGUCCUCGGACCCAGUUGAACCUCGAGUUGAACAGGGAAAGUUGACUAAAUCUUACCAUUUAGAGGAAGGUGGAGUCGUAACA
rnacentral:rRNA from 1 species